UACGGAGGGGGCUAGCGUUGUUCGGAAUUACUGGGCGUAAAGCGCACGUAGGCGGCUUUGUAAGUUAGAGGUGAAAGCCCGGGGCUCAACUCCGGAAUUGCCUUUAAGACUGCAUCGCUAGAAUUGUGGAGAGGUAAGUGGAAUUCCGAGUGUAGAGGUGAAAUUCGUAGAGAUCCGGAAGAACACCGGUGGCGAAGGCGGCCUGCUGGGCAGUUGCUGACACUGAGGCGCGACAGCGUGGGGAGCAAACAGG
rnacentral:rRNA from 1 species